GCUGUCAAUAUUAAGACUGCAGAGAUUUACAGAGCCUCCUUUCAAGAUCGGGGUCCAGAGGAGCAGCUGCGGGCCGCGCGGACUUUAGCAGGAGGACCAAUGAUUAGCAUUUAUGAUGCAGAGACAGAACAACUUCGUAUAGGACCGUACUCCUGGACGCCAUUUCCACAUGUGGAUUUCUGGUUGCAGCAAGAUGACAAGCAAAUACUAGAGAAUCUUUCUACUUCGCCUCUGGCUGAGCCGCCUCACUUUGUUGAACAUAUUAGAUCUACCUUGAUGUUUUUAAAAAAAUACCCAUCUCCAACUAACACACUGUUUCCUGGAAAUAAAGCCCUACUCUACAAAAAAAAUGAAGAUGGCUUGUGGGAAAAGAUCUCUUCUCCAGGAAGCUAAAAAACAGGAAUUACCAAAGAAAGCACCUUUUUGGCCUGACAGAGACCACUGGUGGGGCUGGUACGAAUCCAGAUUUGGAACCUACAUCCGUUGGGUCGUAGGCCUCCUUGCCUCCUGUCUUUCAAAUGACUUUCAAAAUAAAACCUUAUUUUGGCAAAGGCA